rfam:Streptococcus sp. TA 26, complete genome.
CGGGAAGUAGCUCAGCUUGGUAGAGCACUUGGUUUGGGACCAAGGGGCCGCAGGUUCGAAUCCUGUCUUCCCGA